rnacentral:rRNA from 2 species
AGAGUUUGAUCCUGGCUCAGGACGAACGCUGGCGGCGUGCCUAAUACAUGCAAGUCGAGCGGACCGACGGGAGUUUGCUCCCUUAGGUCAGCGGCGGACGGGUGAGUAACACGUGGGUAACCUGCCUGUAAGACUGGGAUAACUCCGGGAAACCGGGGCUAAUACCGGAUGCUUGAUUGAACCGCAUGGUUCAAUCAUAAAAGGUGGCUUUCAGCUACCACUUACAGAUGGACCCGCGGCGCAUUAGCUAGUUGGUGAGGUAACGGCUCACCAAGGCGACGAUGCGUAGCCGACCUGAGAGGGUGAUCGGCCACACUGGGACUGAGACACGGCCCAGACUCCUACGGGAGGCAGCAGUAGGGAAUCUUCCGCAAUGGACGAAAGUCUGACGGAGCAACGCCGCGUGAGUGAUGAAGGUUUUCGGAUCGUAAAACUCUGUUGUUAGGGAAGAACAAGUACCGUUCGAAUAGGGCGGUACCUUGACGGUACCUAACCAGAAAGCCACGGCUAACUAGGUGCCAGCAGCC